rnacentral:rRNA from 1 species
GAUGAACGCUGGCGGCGUGCCUAAUACAUGCAAGUCGAGCGAACGGACGAGAAGCUUGCUUCUCUGAUGUUAGCGGCGGACGGGUGAGUAACACGUGGAUAACCUACCUAUAAGACUGGGAUAACUUCGGGAAACCGGAGCUAAUACCGGAUAAUAUUUUGAACCGCAUGGUUCAAAAGUGAAAGACGCUCUUGCUUUCACUUAUAGAUGGAUCCGCGCUGCAUUAGCUAGUUGGUAAGGUAACGGCUUACCAAGGCAACGAUGCAUAGCCGACCUGAGAGGGUGAUCGGCCACACGGGAACUGAGACACGGUCCAGACUCCUACGGGAGGCAGCAGUAGGGAAUCUUCCGCAAUGGGCGAAAGCCUGACGGAGCAACGCCGCGUGAGUGAUGAAGGUCUUCGGAUCGUAAAACUCUGUUAUUAGGGAAGAACAUAUGUGUAAGUAACUGUGCACAUCUUGACGGUACCUAAUCAGAAAGCCACGGCUAACUACGUG